rnacentral:rRNA from 1 species
AAUGAACGCUGGCGGCGCGCCUAAUACAUGCAAGUCGAGCGAGAAGACGUAGCAAUACGUUUGUAAAGCGGCGAACGGGUGAGGAAUACAUGGGUAACCUACCCUUGAGUGGGGAAUAACUAGCCGAAAGGUUAGCUAAUACCGCGUACGCUUCCUGGACUUCGGUUCAGGGAGGAAAGCGAUGCCGAGGGUAUCGCGCUCUUGGAUGGGCUCAUGUCCUAUCAGCUUGUUGGNGAGGUAACGGCUCACCAAGGCUUCGACGGGUAGCUGGUCUGAGAGGACGAUCAGCCACACUGGCACUGCGACACGGGCCAGGACUCCUACGGGAGGCAGCAGUAAGGAA